rnacentral:tRNA from 1 species
UCCCCGGUGGCUCAGAUGGUAAAGCGUCUGCCUACAAUGCGGGAGACCGGGGUUCAAUCCCUGGGUGGGGAA